rnacentral:rRNA from 1 species
GGGGAAUCUUCCGCAAUGGGCGAAAGCCUGACGGAGCAACGCCGCGUGAGGGAGGAAGGUCUUUGGAUUGUAAACCUCUUUUCUCAAGGAAGAAGUUCUGACGGUACUUGAGGAAUCAGCCUCGGCUAACCCCGUGCCAGCAGCCGCGGUAAUACGGGGGAGGCAAGCGUUAUCCGGAAUUAUUGGGCGUAAAGCGUCCGCAGGUGGUCAGCCAAGUCUGCCGUCAAAUCAGGUUGCUUAACGACCUAAAGGCGGUGGAAACUGGCAGACUAGAGAGCAGUAGGGGUAGCAGGAAUUCCCAGUGUAGCGGUGAAAUGCGUAGAGAUUGGGAAGAACAUCGGUGGCGAAAGCGUGCUACUGGGCUGUAUCUGACACUCAGGGACGAAAGCUAGGGGAGCGAAAGGGAUUAGAUACCCCUGUAGUC